CCGUGCUGGAGCAGGCCGGCGCCCCGGACGUUCCCGUCGCCCGGGGCGCCGAGCGUCCGCUGAUCGAGGCGGUGCGCACCGCCC
rnacentral:tRNA from 1 species